rnacentral:rRNA from 1 species
UACAGAGGGUGCGAGCGUUACUCGGAAUUACUGGGCGUAAAGCGUGCGUAGACGGCUAUCUAAGUCGGGUGUGAAAGCCCCGGGCUCAACCUGGGAAUUGCAUUCGAGACUGAAUAGCUAGGGUACGGUAGAGGGAAGUGGAAUUCCCGGUGUAGCGGUGAAAUGCGCAGAUAUCGGGAAGAACACCCGUGGCGAAGGCGGCACUCUGGGACGGUACUGACGCUGAGACGCGAAAGCGUGGGGAGCGAACAGG